UAAAAAACGUAGGAAAGACAAGUACGUUUAGUCGAACUAUCAGUGAGUUGGGAAAUGGUGCGAACCCAAUCAGUAAUCGGCUUUACCGAAUAACACUUUCUUAGUUGCGGGCUGAACCACUUAGCAGUAAGCUUCGCCGUCACCGAAACGUUACCAUCGGAGCGUAUGUUAGUAUGCAUAUUGAGGUGGCUUAUCUAUAGAUAGGCAACUUGGGUGGUACCGCGAAAUGAAGUCUUUCGUCCCUUGG
rnacentral:ncRNA from 1 species